UCCUUCCUGUGUGGCUGAGAUCCAUCAUCACCAUAACAGCUAGCAGCUGCCAGUUGUGGCAUUUGGGGAAUUGAGGUCGCAUUCUGUGAGAAGAAAUGUUCUGCAUCAUUCGUCUGUGAGUCUGAAACCUCAGUGUGCAUGAAGUCAUCAGUUUCAUUCUAGAAAAGAUUAUGGAAUGGAAGAUAAAACUUUACACUACCUUCUCCAGAUGCUGUAAAACACUGGGGGUUUUUAGCCAUGUAUUUUGCUAAAAUACUUAAUCACAGAGAGGGUAUGUUCUUCUUAACUUCUGACAUUUCCUUGCAGGUUCCCCAGUUAAAAUACCACUACUUUUUGUCAAGUAAUAGCUUGAAAUGUUGUAGUUUGGUCAGGUAAAACCACAUGAAAUAAUAAUUUUAUCCCUGCGCUUCCCUUCUUAAUAGAAACCCUGUUACAGGACAGGAGGGUGAUUUCUGAAACACAGACUGCUGUAUGUAUUGCAGUUACUAACCCAGACUGAAAGCCAGCUACUUCUACUGAAGAGAUAGUCACCUUUAAUUUCUGGGGUACAUAAACUUUAAAGAUGCAUGAGUUACAAAGUUGAAGCCAUUUUGCCACAUACAGCAUUUUUGUACUGUGGAUAAAAUCUGGUUAUUUAAAUCCAUGUGAAUUUCAUUUCCAUUCCAAAACGAUUUGUCUAGCUUAAUUUUUCUUGCUAUCAGUAUUCUCUACUUUUAUAAGGUGUUUUACUUUGUGUGAUUUUAGUGUUUGCAGUAAUAAUUUUUUAAAAUAAAAUUUGGACCCCUAGUUUAAUAAUGA